UCAGGGGGAUUACCUGAACAAAAGUGACAAUGCAAGACUGAGUAUACUGAUACUCAGCAAGGCUUACCCGUUCAUGGUAUACUUAGCCAUGUAGCUAGACUUAUGAUGACUUUACUGGUUACGGGUAAAUUUUUCAGCUGAAAAGAAACAAAGAGUGGAUCCUUAAUUUCAAAUUUUAGCUUUCCAGUUCUACGUAAUUAAUUAUUCUAGAUAAGCACCUAUAACUAUAAAAGCAUGGUAAGAAGUAUUUCAUUUUUUUACCGAUUUUUCGUUACUCCAUUUGUGUGCCUGGGAUGCGGAUCCCCACCCCACCACGUGUUCUGAAGGGAGUUCAAGACGAACCCCUUGAAUUCUCUAUGGGGUUUAUCCGCUCUAAAAUUUCUUUUGCUAAGUAUCAAAACAAGUUUGAUUUUUUGCCGAAGUAUCCAAACAAGACCUCACGAAUCUGCUUAUGUACACAAUAAUGUGGGUAUAUCUAUUUCUUUGUUCUCAUAGUCUGGCAUAUGUACUGUAGAUAAACCUGUUCCAAUGGCCAAACAAAAAGAGGGUGUGGACAAGGGAACUGCUAGGAGGAUGAUCCGGUCUACGGAAGGCUGUGCGAAGAGCAUUACUUUCAAGAGGAACAACAAAUCAGACGCCGUGCAGCUUCACGAUCUGCCGACUGUAAGAGUAAUUCCAAAUAGUUCAAUCCUCCUUUCGCAGUAAGCAUAUAUGUCAAAUAAUUCAAAAGAGCUUGCUAGGACCAGUUAAUCAGUGGUUCAGUUUACUCGGCUGCUUACUCACGCCACUUACUAUGUGCAGGACAUCCUAGGUAGCAUACUAUCACGGUUGACAUUCAGAGAAUCCUCAGGGAUGGGCCUUGUUUCUCAUAUCUGGCGGCGGCUGUGGAGAAGCUGCUGUUGGAAACUGGUCUUCACCAGGGCUACAAUGUUCCAACCCAGAAAUAAGAGCAUCAAACGUACAAGGACCAACUUUGCCAUGAGAGUCGACAGUUUCUUGCGGCAGCUACACACUCAUUCUCCUCUUGAUAAGUUUGUUAUUAAGUUCGGGCUGCGCAGGAAGCACACUUGCCAUGUCAACAGAUGGAUUCGCUUCUGCUCUGCGUCGCGAGCAAGGCACAUCACUAUUGAUUUCACUCCUGGAGUGAAAGGUUUUGCCAUGGGUCUAGCCAACAGCAAGUACAUCUUCCCCCUGAACGUUUUUAGUGGUCCAGACGGCUCCUCUACACAUGUCAGAUUUCUUCAUCUGGGCUAUGUCUGUCUGGACACAACCUCCUCUGGUUUCAUGGCUUUUGCAAAUCUUAAGAAGCUCACUCUGCACAAAAUUUCCUUUUUGGGAGGCCUCCAGUGCCUGAUGCUGCCAGAAUUCAAUUCUCUUGAGUGGCUGAGCAUCAGCUACUGUUCCUUGCCCGGUUUAAGCACAUGCCAGCCGCUGCAACGCCUGCGAUGUGUUCGUUUGCACUACUGCUAUCUGAAAAAGAUUGAGCUGGAAGCUCCAAAUCUAACAUCGUUUGACUUGACCAACCCACCAAUUCCAUUUGUGCUUGGUGCAUCUCUGAAGGUAAUGGAAGCCAACAUUAAACUGCUCUCUUAUGAUGAUAAUCUGGACUACAUUUACACUGAGCUUCCUGCUGCACUGUCUCAUGUGCAUAAACUCUCCAUAACCUCGCCUCUCUGCAUUUUUGAUGAGGUUUGUCUGUUUCUGAAAGUACUUAAGUUCAUUCAACUAUUACUGACCUUUAUUUGCACCUGACAUGUUUGUUCCUCAUCUCAUACAUAUUUUGACUCUCAUGGUUAUAUUUCAGCUGCAAGGGUUUGCCAAAAUCUCAGCCAGAUUCAUCAAUCUGAGGCAUCUGACCAUGUAUUUGCCUCUUUACGGGGACCUUGAGUCAAUUGACGGGAUUCUUCGCUUGGCCUACCUCCUGGAGUUGGCCCCAGCUCUAGAAGAAUUGGAAUUGCAUGUGAGUGGCUUACUAACUCUAUAAUCUCUUAUACAUUUUCUCAAGGUAUGCUGUAUCUGUAGAUAUUUUUGUAGAGGGAUUGCAGCACUAGUGUACCAGGCAUAUUGUUUAUCAUCUUUGCUAAUUUUGAAUUGCCUGAAUAUUUAUUAUCCCUCAUUAUCUAAAACUACAUAGUUUAAAAUUGCAGUAACAUAAAAGUUGUCUGAAUAGUUAAAAAAGAUUAAAAAAGACAAAAAAAGGAGCAAUGUUGCAAUCAAUUGAACAUCGGAUACUAUCAUACUUCAUUACUAUACGAGCCAAGGUGCCCAUGUGUUGCUAGUUUGCUACAAGGUCUCGAAUACUUGAUAGUUUAAAAUUGCAGUACCAUAAAAAAUUUUGAGUGUUGAUGUUAUAAUUAAAAAGGAUAAAAACACACACAAAAAGUAGCAAAGUCACAAUCAAUUGAAAAAAGGACACUACCAUACUUUAUUACCUUACGAGUUGAGGUGCCUAUGCGUUGCUCUGAGAUCUUUGAAUACAUGACUUUUAAAUUUAAAAGCAAUGAUGCUUGUUUUACGAGCAGGAUGUAAGUAUGUCAUAAUGAGAUUCAGCUCUACAGUAAUAUUAGUCAAGAAUACAUGUACGCACACACGAUUAAUACCAACUAAACUGCCUAAACAUUUUGUUUUACAAAAGCAGCACUAAUUGACAAUAUGGAAAGACUACGCGCAAGCCAUGCUUCUCUUUUGAUCAUGUCUAGAGAAUUCCCUCAGAGUUGAUCUGACCACCCAACCAACAUUAUGCAUCUAGAAUAAUGUUGCCAUUUUUUGUAGUGAACAAUUAGGCCUUGAGCAUUGCGACAAGAAGCCUAACUAUCCCUCUUUGACAGUCAGAAAAGUGUUAUACCUCGAAGACUAUUUAUAAUUUUUAAAGCUGAUGCCAAGAAAACAAUGGUGUGGUUGAGGUCAUAAUAAACACAUAUUGGUGAGCUCGCAGAUAAAACAAUUUUCAUAACAUUCACCGGUGAUGUAGACAAAAAACACAAGGAACAACGAACAACGAUGUAUGGGCCUGUGUCAUUGGGCUGGCUGGUUAAGCAUGUGCCCAACAGUCAUUUGCUGGCAUGUGGCCAAAAUUGAAUAGGUGAGGGGAGUAAAAUGGACUUUUCCCCUUUAAAAAAUUGAACUUCUAGCCUUUUAGUGUACCGUUGCCGCUCUUCUUUCUUCUAUUAUAUACUGCUGUUCCAUUGGUUUUCAUGCUCUCCUCCUAUUCCUCUGUUCCUUUGUUUAUGUCUCCUGCUGCGAAAUCAAUGUGGGUGCUGUGAGAGGAUGGCUCGGGGAGGCGUUGGAGUGUGGUAGGAGGGCCGCGGUGUGGUUGCAUGGGAGAGGCCAAGGAGGGGCGCUCGCCGCUGCGAGGCAGUACAGUGUGGCGGUCCCACCUGUCAGCACAGCUGUGGUAGAACAUACCACCACCACUGUCACUUUUUAAGUAGUGUAUGAUUAUUUGGGUAAUACAAUACAGUUUUAUCCAUUUUUGAAGCCAAUUGGAUUUUUUAUUGGCAAUGAUGUUCUAUAUGUGAAAUGUAAACUGUAAAGUAGCCCAAAAUUUCUUGAAGGCACUAUGUCCAAAUCUAACCUUUGAAUGUUCCUUCCUUUUCAAAUAUAAUGUCCAACAAGAUAAUGGCCAUAAGUAGUACUUUCAUAUGGAUGUCAAUUGGUAUUGUCCCUUUUAUGUCAGAAAACCUAUAUAAUGUUAAACUUAUUGUUUUUAAUCUCAAAGUUUAUGACGGCUUCCAAAUGUCAGUAGUAUCCAGUGAGAACUUAUAAUAUAUCCAUGACAAUCACAAAAAUUUCUAUGCUUAAGCUACGGCUGUGUGCCUUUAUUUUGGAUUGGGAAACUAUAGGAUUGUUGAGUGGUUUGAUGCUCUCAGCUUCAUGAUCGGAAUGGAUUUUUUUUAAGAAAACAGAGGUAAUCUGUUGACCAAGCUUAUUGUGAUGUUAGAGUUACAUUGCCAAAGGACACUAGGACUAGGAUAGCAUGUGUUUCAAAGACAAUGCUUCGUUAAACCUUUUAAGUACGGUUUAUCCCAUGUUUCUUGUUUUCAUAGGCCUGUUCUUGUUGCUCAUUGAGCUACCACUUCCCAUAUGUAUGAUGUGAUUCUAAACGUGUAGUUUUGUGUUUGCUUCAUUUCCCCUUGUUUAUUAUUUUGUUCCCACAUUCAUUAUGAAAAAUUGAUAUGAUGGAUCUCUAAAGAGUCCGGUAUCUUUGCAUGCAGGCGAACGGCGGUGAUGUGUCUGUUGGAUGGGCACUCAGACGGAAUAUGUUACCAUACCCACACAAUAAGCUCAAGAGGGUCCUUAUUUCAGGAGCCUUUGAAUGGGAGGGGCUAAUGGAGCUGGCAUACUACAUUCUUCGGAGUGCCAAUAGACUCGAAUGUAUGAUCCUAGAUCCAAUGAGAAGAAUUGGGGGUCCUCCGCUGGAUGGGUGGAUGGUUGAUAAAGGUUGGGAGAUGAUCAAAGAGUUUUUUGAGGGAGAGGAGUUUCGAAGCAUUCUUACUAUUCUGUAAGAAUGGUAAGAUAGACACAAGAUUUUAGUGGUCACAGUAAGUGGCCACGCUUGAUAUGCCAUAGGUUAGACCAGUAUGGUCAUAAAUGUUUACUGUUUUCAUUUUCGACCUCAAAAAUGGUACACGAAAUGUAAAUUUGACCAUUAGCUUCUGUUGUAAUAUAUUUUAGAAAUCCAAUAGAGCAAUACUGCUACGUACAAGUACUUUUCAAGUCAAAUCGAGAGCACAUUACAACUUCAUAUCAACCUUAACAUUUAAAAAGACAUUGCUGAUAAAACUUUUAGAACUUCUAUUACAUGUUUGUCCCAACCCAACGGCAUGAAUAUUGAGUAGCUAGACUUGUCUAAAUGAGUUUAACUAGGAGUGAGGAAAAGUAUAAAGGGUUUGUGUCUGAGAUCUCUUAGUUCUUUUCAUAGACCUUACCGUUCUCCCUUGUUUUGUGUCUGAGAUCUCUUAGUUCUUUUCAAAGGGGUAUUGUCGCCAUUGCAAUCCUUUUGAGUGAGAAUAAGUUCAGAAUUGAGUUAAAAGUUCUGAAGAUGGGUUCAUUAGAAGUUGUAUAGAUGAGGCUUUUAAACAGCCAUCCAGGAUGUGAGAGACCUACUUGGCGCAGCAGAUAAAUUACCAAAUGGUGCUGUUGAGGUGUAUCCUGUACCUAGAGAUGCCUCAGUUGACAUGUUACCUCCAGCUGAGGGAACAGAUGUGCCAGCUCCUUCCAAAUUUGAAGAUUCAUCAACGCCAGAUGUCAAUGAAGAUGGCAUUGAGAAAGACACAAAUUUGGAAGAGGGCAAUACAGAAAGUCUGACAAUGUCUGCACAAUUUUCUGCUUUUGGUAAAGAUAACUCAGACUACACUGAAGUUGCUGCUCAUUAGGAUGAUGGCUCGAUAGAGAACAGAUGUCUUUCAGUCCAAUGGCCUUUCAUAUGAGCAUAACCAAAGUAAGUCAAAAUGAAGCUCAUUUCAGUUAUCUGUAUUUGUGCAUGUGGUUGGUCAGCUUCUAUUAUUCUGAAGACUAUUUGGUAAAUUAUUAAGUUGGAAGAUAGCUUAUUUUAUUUAUGUGAAUGAUUUUCUUUCCCUAUGGUUAUCACACCCCCAUUUGGCCACCAUGAUGCUCAGUUACUUGAAAUUUCUUUCUAGAUUUCUCCGUUCGUCUCUGUACGUGUAUUUAUAUAUUGCAUUGUUGCAUGCCAUAAUACCCAAUUACACAUUAAUUACUGACCUUCUGUUUUACAUCUGCGUGCUAAAAUACCAGUGACUGUGGUCUGUGGAUCUCUUGGAACUGUCUUUCUAGUACUUAACCUUUUGCUGUUGCUCAUCAAGUUUCUCAUUUUGUAUUAUCAUUUGCCGCUUUGAUGGCAGAUUUCAAUGGAGAUAUGUCUGCCACUACGAAACAAUUUGACCAGUUGACUCUGCACGAGAGACCAAAAUCAUCUGAUGAUAAUCCGACAGUAAUAAUCCCUGAUCAUCUUCAGGUUUCAAAUGCUGACUGCGCACACUUGACAUUUGAUAGUUCUGGAACAAUUGAUGCAUCUUUGACCACAAAACCUCUUGAAUGUCAUGGUGAUGUUGCGACAGUUCCUGAUGACCAAUCAAUGGACCAGACAGAUGUCAGGUAUGUUUUCUAUUUUUUAGUAUUCUUCGCACCCAUUUUAUUGUGUAGCAUUUAUAAGCCCUCUUUUUUUCUUUUCAGAAUCCACGAGGAUGGAAGCAAGGCGACAGCAACUCCAGCUGCUGACGAGUAUGCUGCCUCUGUGACACACAGCAACCUGGAGAAUCUUGAUGUUACAUCGGUACAACAAUCUGAAGUGACAAGAGUCAGUUUCCUGGAUGUCAUAAACAAUACUGGAUAUAACCUAUCAUCAACCUCAGAUUUUGCAGCUUCAAGUGCAGCGCUGCAAGAUUCUGCUUCACACAAUUAUCUUCAGUAAAACCUACAGUUCCAGAAUAUUUCUCCUCUCUCAAGCUUUAUUGUAUGUAUUCAUAUUUUGCAUUGAUAUAGCUCAUUAAAAAAGAGAAGUCUACCUGAUUCUCCUUUUGCAUUUUUUUCCUGAACACGCAGGAGAGAGAGCUGCCUGCCAUUUUAUUAAGAAGAAAAAGCGUACCCAGGUGUACAUAACACACACACAACAACACACCUUCCUAAAAGAAUUCACGCGAUAUUAUUAAUUUAUUGACAAUGCCCGUUUUUCUGUACUAACAACUGUUUUAUUACUCUAUAUCUGCAGCAAAUAUAAAAUGGUCUCCUGCCACCAGCAAUCCGGCCACUGCGCGAAUUUGAUCCAGCGUUCUCACUAUUGCUCACUAACCCUCCUAUGAUGCAUGGUACAACGUCUUUGUCCAUGAACAAUGCUACUGUUUCAACGCAGCCCCAAGAGGUAUGGAUCAUUGAAUCAUGCCACUUCAUCUUCAUCUAUGCUUAGUGAAGCAGCCAUAUAUUUCUUGCCAACUUCGUGCAUUCUAUCUUGUUGGUUUAGGUAACUGCCGUUGCUAGCACUAGUCUGCAAAAGUUAUGAUCUGGAAAAGGGCAGCAUAUAUUCCCCCUUUUUUGGUAGUUGACAAACUAAAUUAUACAAAUGGGGCCCAGAGUUUGCUAAUGCACCUUUUCAUUCUGUUCUAUGUCAAUAGUUCUAUUAUUUGAAUUGGUGGAACAUUUGCAAUUUUUGGCAAAAUAUGAGGAAACAAUGCAUCAGACUUUUUUAUGCUGCUAUCUGAUUGUUUCCUAAUCUUUAAAUUUGUCAUGGUACCUGUAAAUGUGUUAAGAAUUUGUUAUCCAGCGUUGCGUUUGCGUGGAUCACUGGAUAGCAAAAUUUCCCCAAAAUUUUUUUGAGGAUGCAUCUGGGUCCCCGAAAACCGCAUUGAUUCUGCCCUUGGGCAGUCUUAGUCCGACAAUCCCCUUUGACCCAACUCCUGUCUUGGGUGUGGUGGACCACUUGAUAGCAUUCUUUCCCCCAAGAAAAUUUGGUGGUGCAUCUGGAUCCCUGCACCCUCCGCUAAGUCUGCCCUCCCUGGUCAUGCUGUCUUAGUCCGGUUGUCGUCUUUGACCCAGUCGGAAAUGGGGUGUAUCGAGCUACACGAAUAUUUUUUGUUUGGAAGGCUGUACCCAUAAGUAAGACAGAGAGAAUCAUUGUGCCAUUUAGCAAAGGAAGCUGCUUUAGAUAAUAAGCGGUUGAUAUGCUCUCCAAUCUUGCAUUUAGUUUUUCAUAUGAACAAUAUUGGCUUGGAAGGUGCUCUGAGGUGACAAGUGAAUAUAUACUUCAGUUUAAGACACCGUUCAUGAUAUAAUAUUUUCUUAAAAAAAAGCUGGUGUAUCCUUGUGCUUUUUGUACCAUUUACAGAGAAAAAUGAAAAUAUGCUGUCCACAGUUGUUCUUGUUGAGAACUAUGUUUCAUGAUUGAAUUAUCUUUCCUUAAUGUUGACGCAAAAAACGGUGAUCGGCUUGUUAUGUGGCCACACACGAGGAUCUGAAAGAUUUGUCUUUCUCCGGCGCAGGCUCCAGUUAGCUUCGCGUAGGUGCUAGACGUGUAGGUGAUAGACGUGCCAGUCAAUUUGAUAUGUAAUUGAUAUAGACGUGCCAGUCAAAUUGAUAUGUAAUUGAUAAGAAAUAAUGCAAUCAUCAAAUACUAGAACGUAUCGGUUGGAUUCCGAACUGUUCCAAAGAAAUAUCGAGAUGUAAUAAGAAAUCGGCUAAGAAGCAGCCGAUUCUACUAUGAGGUAAUACCAAUUACUCAAUAAUACUUCAUGAACAAUGCUUAGAUUCAGAUCUAAUCGGCUAUGUGCAGUAACUUAAUAAUAAAACAUAACUACAGCUGAUAGAAAAUCUAAGAUCUAAGCUAGAUAAUUUGUGAUAAAAACUAAACUGCACAAGAUUAAAUAAAUAUAUUUGCAAAGUAUAGCAAAUAUCGAUAACUGGUGAGUAAAUAGAUCGAGAAGGAAGCUGAUGCGCCGUCCAUCAAAGACUAAUUUGCUCGAUAAACACAGAACUUACCAGCAAGCUGGAGAUCGAAGCGAUACAGCCCUGCUACCGGAAGAACUCGUCGAAAAGAAAAAAACUACGAAACUAGAGUUUGGUGAAGUCGCCGACAAUGAAGAAAAGAGUUUGUUGUAUUGAUGUGUGAUUAUUCUGAUUACAAGCCCGUAGACUAAUAUUUAUAGUCUAAGCUAACAAACCCUAGUCGAUCACGACACAACAUGACUUGACCAAAAAGAAAACAAUCUUUCUAAAAUAAAUAAUUUGGACUCCAUACGAUAACUUGCUGACGUGGACCAUCGGCAUCAAUUCCGCUCCAUCGGUUGCGACGUCAUCUUGGACAAUCAACCGCCUCUUCUGCUUGAGCAUCGGCCAGUCCCAUUGGCCUCCUCCCUUGCCUUAUCUUUGACCAGACCGCGUUAAAAAAACAGUGUCAACACUUAAUCAUUUAGAUUUCCUGAUGGUCUUUUUCUAUUUUAAUGUAGUAAAGUAUGGUCGCUGAAAUUUCAAACUUCAAUUAAAACAAAGUAUGAACUUGCCUUGGCCAUAUCUGAAUUCUGAAGUAGUAAGAGAGGAGGAUGGAAAGGAGCAAUGGCUUGUUUGAUUAGCUAGUUGCUGCUUCCUAUCAAGCAAGUAAAUUGAUUGAGUGCAUAAGUCAAUUUAGGCUGCAAAGUUGUAGAAACUGAUUCAUGAUUUUUUUUAUUUAUGUCCAUCAAAUUGUCCGCUAUGCCAUAUCAUACAUGUAACACUUACCUGAAACUUAUGUUGUGGAUGGAGUUUUCAAGUGGGUUCUUUGCCUCCUGUUUCAAUAAUGUCGUGAACGAAGCGCGCGUCCUAUCAUUUCAACAAUCAAAUAUAAGUAUUAGACAACUAAAUUUACUCAAGUCAAUGAAAGGUAGCAAUCGCUUGUUCUAUCUAUUUCAGAUGAUAGAUGCAUUUAUAUGAAAAAUCGAUCACAAAAUCAUAGUAUAUGCUAAAAAACAUCAUCUGUAAUAUUUGUUCUAUCCAUUAGGAGUCUUGUUCGGCAUCUCAAUCAUAAAACACCCGAUAAACAAAUUGUCUAUCAUCAAACAUCCAUUGCCAAAUACAAAGUGGGCAUAUACCUGGACAGCAAGUCACCUACUUGGUGACUGAGUCUCUUGAGGUUCAUGACUCCAGCGUGUUAGGAGCAGCACAGUCUUCCGACCUUCAAUCAUCUGCCCGAUGUUGCCGUUGGCCACCGCCACCGCCACCCACCACGGCCCUGAUGGCGCCCUCGAGAAGUAGAGCAAAAGGGACGAUGGGUGGUGCUAGCUUGAGCGGCGACAGGUGGCACGACGACCUCUUCCUCAGCAUGGCACCCUCCGUUGCCCACAGCGAAUUUGAGUAGCGGUAGAAAUUCGAGUGAUGGGAAAGAGUAGAAAGAGAGAGCAGCCGAGCGAGAGAGAAACGGAGGAGAAGACGAUGGAUGGGAAGAGAUAAGGUGGGGCCUAUCACGUGCCUCCUGACGUGCGGGCCAGCAGCUGCAGCCCCGCUCUUCCAAGGGACUUGUAUUCUCAGCCUCCGCGAUCGAAUGCUAUGCUAUCACAGAGCAUGUUUCCCACCACUAUUGCAUGCACAUCUUAUAUGCUGCAGGAGCAACUAGUGUUUAAAAAAUAUAUAUUGUUUGAAAAUAAAUAACAAUGUUCAACAGAAAAAGUUAUUCCGAAUGUAUUUCAUAAAAAAUAGAAGUUGGUUCGAAAAUAAAAAAUAUUCCAGAACAAGAUAUAAUAUUUUAGAAAAUAAAAUUGUUUUGGAACAAAUAAAAAUAUUUUAGAAAAAAUAUUAUCUAAAUAUAGGCAAGUGUGGUCUAGUUUUAAAGAUCUCAACAGAAAAAUAUUAACCGUGCAAUCGAAAUUUAAUUUGGAUAACUGGUUUGUGAAACAGAGUAUUUUCUUUUUGAUGUAUGCAUUGCACGGAAAUCAAGGCAGGUGAGCUGCAGCAAAUCCCUCUGCCUCCCGCGCUGAUGGACAUGUGUCCAUUUCCACCCGUGAAGCCCGGAGAGGAGAGGAAACCAGCGCAUCUUUUAAUCAAUCACUCCGAUGUAACUUCAUGAGACUAUCAUCUUUUAUCUGUCCUGUCCAACAAGUCUUUCAGCUAUAAAUGAAUAAUCCAAUAGUUUGCAUGUCAGCAACUUUUGAGGGCACGAAUCUAAAUGCUGUUACGCUAUUUGCACCUAAUCGCAUUCAUCACUUGUUAUUUUGUUAAGCUCCUCUUUUGAAUCAUAUUGCUAUUUACAUAAGAUCAAGACACUGUACUCUGUGAAUGUUUGUAGCCCAUUGGAAAUUUGGUUCAAUCAAGAUGCAAAGUUUGCCAGCAGUUCCAUUUUGUGCCCCACAUGGAACACUUGCAACCUGAAGUUCUGAUCCCACCAUUGCCUCCGUUAUAUACCUGUUUCAUAUUUUCAGAUUACCAUAUUCUGCUACCUAUUUUACACUAUGAAUCAGGUAUUAUUAGCUUGAAAGAAACAAUCACCUUUACAUCAUUCUUAUUUUGACAACCUGAUGCUUUGUAGCUACGGACUUACUGUUGGUAUUUUUUUUUCGAUUGACACUGGCCCGACAAAAACCAUGCUUGUCUUUUUCAUUUUGGUACUAUCACAACUUGCUUACACUGAUUCUGCUCUUUUCUCUUGGCAUUAUCAGAAGCGCAGCAUGGCGAAGAUCAAGCCAGAGGCGUUGUUGGCACAAAGCAAAGUGAAGAAGGGCCCUAGCCAAAUCAGUGUGGCCACGAUCUUCACCUACUUGGUCCUCGGCGUCGUAGUCGUGUCCUCCGUUUACGCUGCUUACAAAUACAGGGUAGGCAAAGGACCAGCGAUGACAGCAGCAGGCGUCGAGGGGGAUUAAACCCCAAACUAUGCAACUGAUUUUUGUUGUUGUAUCAUCCAGUUGGAUAAUUUUGGUUGCUGCAGCGCAAUAAAAGGAACAUGGAUAGAUUGUAUCUUGCUACAGUUUUACUGUAGACCGUGGGUACAUUGUAUUGAUAUGUGUCUGCUAAAUCCCUUUCUUGGAUAUGGAUGUCUCUGCUGGAGGCCUGGGACUACCUCUAGUUUGUGAUGGUACUCGGUGCUGGUAUGGGAUCUCUUCUUCGUGGUUGAAGACACAGGAAAGCAGGAUAACCUUACAUGUUCAUGAUGGCAGUGGGAAGAAUUCGGAAUCAUACAUAUACUGUGCACAAAACCGGAAAGAGUGUACUGUGGUGCAAAAGGAGAAUAGUACUACCUCCGUUCGUUUAUAGUUGGCAUACUAGGAUUUGAAAAAAGUUAUACAAAACCACCAAUUUCUCUUGCAAUAUAUCAUCAAACAAAGGCAAUUGCCGUAUUCUGAAAUCUGAAUAUAUUCAUAAAGCUUUUUAACAUCGAACGCUGCAUGUGGUUUGAUGAACUGUUCGUCAAAAUUUACGAGGUUUGGUCUUUUGAAAUCCCAAUGCAAGUACUGGAAACAAAAAAAAAGGGAGGGAGUAGCAUUUUUCAAGAGGGAUCCUCGUCACAAGCGUGUGGAACGGACACACCGGCCCUUGUUUCCAAAGGCAGGCAGCCCCCACCCGUACGAACGCUGCUGCAAUCUUGUGGGCAUUCUUUCAUUCAGGUCUCGUGGGAUCAAUGAUUGAUACCACGUCUCGUGAUUCAGCAACGUGAUUCCACAGGGCCACACGCGUGGCGUUUGCGUCGAGUGAUACCCAUCCCGAUCUCCGGCCGGCCACUGCCUACUAGUGAGGACGCGACGCACCAGAGAAGAUCCAAGGCAUGUGACUGCGACCGCUCUCCGUCCUGGGCUGCCUGACGGGCCGGGACCGAUGCUGGUGACGUUUGGUGCGCCCGACUCAUGGCCCCCGGAUGCAUUUUUUUUUUCUUUCUUAUCCUACCACGUCGUGCUACUUUUGUGCUGGUCUUGUACAUGCCCAUGCGGCACGAGUCAAACUUUUCUACUAGAAAUAGACCUGGUCGUCCCUUAGUCUGAAAUCUGUAUUGUAGGGUUUGCUUUUUCUCGCACACUUCUCGGUUGUUGAGAUUGUAACUCUCUCGCGCUCUCUUCUACUCUGUUCCUGCGAUGGCCCUAAAAGUAAAAAAAAAAUGUUAUAAAAAAGUAAAAAAGAGAAGAAGAGUGAUUUUGUGGAAGCUGCAAGGUAACAGGGACAGCGACGACUGACGAGCGACGAACACGUAACAUCGUCCAUACCCACCACCAGCAGUAAAAAUCAACGGAGGGCUCGAGGCUGACGGGAUCGCUGGUGAGGCGCUCGCUCACUAGUAGAAGGCACGACUGUGAAUGGCGUGACCGCCCGGCGAUCGGGACCCGAGUUGCCGUCGCUCUCGCCCAUCCCCUGAUGUGCUAGCGGCCACUGACGGGACAAGCAGCAGCGACGGAGCUCCACUCUCUUUCUAGUCGUCACGGUUGAGGAGCUAGCGGCGACCGUACCGUGCCGCCGGCCGUUGGGCGUUGCCGUGCCGUGAUAUGACUGGUGAUCCCACGGUCCGUUUUUGACUGGGAGCUCAAGUCUUCCCAAGAUCGUCCACGCGUUUCGCUGUCAGCAGCACGCCAGCAAACGCAGGAUAAAAAGAUUCAGAGUUUCAGACAGCCUUUGCCAUCUAUUCUCAAAUCAAAACUUAGAAGAAAAUUAAUUAUUUUGUGUGGUUGCAUACCUCUGCACACCAUGAAUCCCUAGCGUUGACGUCACGCGCGUCUCAUCGAUACGGCUAGGUAUUAGUUUAGUGGUAGACACGUUGUGCUCAAAGUUUCUUUAAAGAAAAAACGUUUUGUUCAAAGAAAGAAGAAGAAGAAGAAAACGAAGAGGGGGAGAAAGCUGAAAAUGGUCGUGGACUCUGGCACUCUGCCAUUUUCCGAUCGCAUCGCUGCUCGUCUAGUUAGGAUAACGUUUUCCGACAUCCCAAAGGAUACGACAACGUUGCCUACUGAUCACUCGGCCCCACUAAAAUACUAAACUAUUAGUUCAGAUCCAGUCACUACCGUUGAAUGUUGACUGCUAUGCUGUCACAAGUUGCGUCUACAUAUACUAUAGCUUCCACGUAAGUCCAUUUCUCUGCCCUUUUUUUGCUAGCUUCAGUGGUGUGAAAAUGGUUAAGUAGCUGUAACAAAUGUACUGGCACCUCAUCAACUAGGUCAUCCGGGUCGUUCGUUGUUGGUCAGCGUUUUUUUUUUCUUUCUAGAUUUAGCGCUUACUUUGACUGUACUUCCUCUAUUCCAAAAAACAAAUCAUUCUACAAUUCAAAAUUUAUCCCAUAAAAACAAAUCAUCUUACCUUGUUUAGAAAGUGCAUGUGCAUGCAAGAUCCAAUUAGUGCUAAAUAUAAGUAAAGGGCAAAUAUGGUCAUCUUAGCUUCUUAUUAGUUUAUUCUAAAAUUUUUAGAAUAAUUAAUUUUUAGAACGGAGGCAGUAGACGUAUAUGCAUGGACGGUAGCAUUAAUUCUGCAAAUACAAUGAGAUGUGGAGGACCAUUGCCAUAGGCGGAGCCAGUGGGCUCCACGGGUAUGGCCCGGCAUACCCUAGGCCGGCCCAGCCCAACAAGCUACAUAUGUGAAAAAGAAAAAUCCAACCACCCGUCCGCUCCCGUGAGGCCGUGAGCCGUCCGCUCCCUGCUCCCGGACCUAGACCGCCCGCUCUGUCCGCCCCGGCGUCCGGCGACGCUCUGCGCCUCUCCCCCUCCCCCGGCGCGCCCCGUCCCCGGCGGCCGGCCACGGCUGCUCGGGCCCAGCCCCGCCGCCCCGGCUCCGGCUCCCGCUCGAGCCUCGGGCGCUCCCGCCAGGCGCCAGGCCGCCUCCCAUGUUCCGGCCACGGGCCACGCCGCCACGGCGCCCAGUCCGGCCCCAGCGCGGCAGCGCUUUGUGGUGAGACCGUGAGAGCUUUCCCCCCUCCAUUCUCUCCUCGUAGUUUUAGUCUUAGCAAAUUUUCCCCAAAUUCCUAACCCUAACUUUUCUUUACUGCCAUCUAAUUUAUUAGCUAGUUGUUGUUAGAUUUUACCAUGAUUUAGUUCAAUUGAUGUAGCUUUUAGAUGUAUGCGGUAGGAAUUAGGGAUGUAUUGCAUUGGUCAAUACCUAUAUUGAUGUCAUGAGACAUGAUGAUAGAUUCAGUGGUAAAGAAAACGUUGUUGACCUCUCAGUUAAGCUAGUGGAAACAAAUAGGCACAAUGUUUAUAAUUUGGUUUACUUGCUUCUCAAAAUGGUAUUGCUUCUACCGGUGGCGACGGCAAGCGUUGAGAGGGUAUUUUCUGGUAUGGAUUUUGUCAAAACCAAGCAGAGAAAUAAGAUGAGUGGUAGUCUCUUGGAGAUUGCCUUGCCACGUUCAUUUGAGAGAGACAUUUUGGAAGCUGCGGAUGAAGAUGAUGUAGUUAAGACAUUCAUGGCUACGAGAAAGUGUAGGCUUGAAAAAUAGUGUUGUGAUCUUAUUUGUUAUUUAAGCUUGUGUCGUUUAUAUUUCAAACUAUUAGUGUGCUGUUUUAAACUAUCUGGAUUGUAAUUUAAGACCUACUAUGCUAUUUACUAGUUGUGUACCGAAUUGUUGGGUAAGUUUAUGAAACUUUACUGAAU
rnacentral:lncRNA from 1 species